CUUGGUGUGACUUUGUUUGGUACCAAGCAGAUAUUCUCCUGACCUGGCUGUUCACUUGCUGUUCACGUGCUCCUCCCAGUGGGAGAAUAUCCAUCCAACAGCAAAAGCCUAUUCUGUAUUCUGAGUCUGUGUUAAAAGCUACUUUAAACCUCACAGGUGAUGAUUCCGGUGAAGAACACAGUAGCUUUUAAAAAAAUCUGGUGCGCCCAUCUCUUUGUUUAAAAAAUGUAGAAAUGUGGGAACAUAGGGCCUAAUUUUGAGAAAAAAUGUAGAAAUGUGGGAACAUAGGGCCUCAUUUUCAGUGAAAAACAAAUUCUUAGAAAUGUAGGAACAUUGGGCUGUGGGACCAUAGGGGCUGACCCCAUUAAUAGUGAUUUGAAGUCAAUCGGAGCCUGGUGAAAGUAGUAAGUAUCGUUAUUAUGUCUACCAAGUUUGUGGUUAGGUUUCAACGUUUCACCUUAAAUUAUGAAGAGUUUUCUUGUGCUGAACCUGUUCAAAGGUUAAGGCUAUUGCUAGCACACAGGAAUUCAGCUCAACCAUUGAUGUUGGUCAAACUUGGCCUAAAGUCGUCUGAAGAGGUACGCAAGAAAGUGUUUUAAAAUAUCAAUGAGUCACUUAACUUAAAGCUUAGAUAGGAGCUUUUGGAAUGGAAAAACAAUGGUGUGAUUAUAAUUAAAGGAAGCAGACCGUGAUGAACAAAGAAAAUGUUAUUUUUAAUGUAUAUGCUGGUCUGGGAUAUGUUGAUCUGCUGGGAGCAAACCAGUUGGAUCAGGUGUAGGUUAACUUUGGCGAGUAACAUUAGAAAUGUAGGUAAAUCUGAUGUGAUAAAACUGUUAGCACAAUUUAUUAGUGUUGUCUUGAGUAAUUAUUUUUGACAGAUUCCAAUUUCAGACUUUGAGAUCAUACCGUUCACUUUGACUUAAACAGUGUUUUUUUAUGCUCAGGCAGUAAGCAAGAUCUUAAAUUAAUCAGCAGAUAUACAGAUAGUAUGUAGUAGUAUUAUAAUUUGAAUUUAUCUUUACAUUUUGUGGUGGUAAAAGUGUUCUCUGUUCACGUGUAAUGUGGGUAAUUUUUCAGAGAAUCCUGCUGUACCUGCCUUCAGGUUACACAUAGCCUAUUCAUUUUUGUAAACUGCUAGAUUAAGUUUAUAGCAGAAAUGUAUGUGACCACUGCCAGACAAUACUAUAAACAGUGUUGCUGUCUAGCUCUACAUUUGUUUUGACAAAAUACAUAUUACAUUUCAGGAAGUGGACUCUAAUGAUGAUGACUUCAGCCCUAUCUGGCCCUGACAGCUGGCUUGUUUGUUUCUCCUGGUUCAUGAUACCUGAACAUCGUCACUGCUUUACAGGAGGUGGAGGUCGGAGCAGGCCGUGCAUGAAUGAGGACGGCGGUGGUUGAGGGACAACACAGUCCGAUGGUGGUGGCUGGGCAUCAGGGAAAUGUAGAAAUGAAACCAAGAAACCAGUUGCAUCUUGCAACCAACUUUAAUCCAGCAGAGAUCUUUAAAACCAAGUGUCUGUCCCCAGACCAACAGCAACACUUGACAUAUUUGCUGUUAGACAUGUACCUACUCAUGUGGGAACUUUUUGUUCAUCUAAUCCCAGCACAUUCAUACAUCCCGAUGUUAAAUCCUUCGUUCGGGAUCCUUUUAGCAACUGUUCAUUUGAUACCACUUACUCUAAUAAAUAUUUGCGUACAUUCA